UGCACGCUCUCGUAAUGCUUCAUUCUCACAACGGCAAAGUGUUAUUGCAUCAUCCUAAUGAUUAUCAUCAGCCGUCGUGGGAAUGAACAUUAUGAGACUGUGUA
rnacentral:pre_miRNA from 1 species